rnacentral:lncRNA from 1 species
UGAGCCGGAUGGACGGCAGUGACUCCGAUCUGAAGGAAACACACUUGGCUAAAGUUAAAAGCUACAUAGAAAGUCACUUUCCAGUUUUCAAGGGACACUGUCAGCAGGAUGCACACGAGUUCCUCAUGGCUUGUCUGUCCUGUCUGAAAGAAGAAAGCAUGACCUUAAAAUCGUCUCAUCCCUCAUACACGUGCCCCGUGUCCAGUAUGGAGUUCAAGCUUAAAAGCGAGCGCACCUGCAACAGCUGUGGCGUCAAGAAGAGUUUCUCAGAGGAGUCAAACUGCCUCUCGCUGGUCAUCGGCCCUCAUGCGAGUCUCGCAGACAGUCUGCAGCAGUACAUGAACGCGAGUAUCAGCGCUAAAGUCAUUAU